rnacentral:sRNA from 1 species
GAAUGGGAUCGCCCAAAGUUGCUUCCUGUGUGUGCCGUUUGCGGCAUUUUCGGGCCUGGUUGCUGGUUCUAUUAGUGAUGAAAUACAUAUUGUAACCCGUUUCUUUGCAGCAAGGGGCUUCUUCUAACCCAGCUGAUUUCCUCGGGUUCGCUCUCAGACUUCCCUUGCUGACUUGGAUUUCUAACUUGAACUUUAAAAAUAUCCUCGUUCAAUAGUUUUUCUCUGUUCCCGAUAAUGCACGCUGUUGAGUUGUGUGAGUGGAGCAACUAUUAACAUGUUUUCCUGCUGUUGGGCAUGACUGGGCAGUGACAACCCGUCUUUGGCUGACGGAGGCCCUCAAAUCAUUGAUGUCAAUACCUAAGUUACAUCCCCCGAGUUUAAAAUGCAACAACCAGGGGGGCAGCGCAAUCGCCCUCUCAUCCUCAGCCAUCCUCUUUCCAUUGUAGCUUUUCAUCAAGUCCCCGAGUUGGCCAUGGACGCGUGAUUUAAAAUCGACGAGUGGGGUUGCUCGCUGGGAUCAUGAUUGAUACCGGAUCCAUACUUGUGGGGAUGCUGAGGGUGAGCAUCCAUCCGCCCCCAAAAACAUACC